GAGGGCACAGCUCAGUGGUAGAGCACAUGCCUAGCAUGCAUGAGGUCCUGGGUUCAAUCCCCAAUGCCUCUA
rnacentral:tRNA from 1 species